UACAGAGGAUGCAAGCGUUAUCCGGAAUGAUUGGGCGUAAAGCGCACGUAGGCGGCUUUGUAAGUCAGAGGUGAAAGCCUGGAGCUCAACUCCAGAACUGCCUUUGAGACUGCAUCGCUUGAAUCCAGGAGAGGUGAGUGGAAUUCCGAGUGUAGAGGUGAAAUUCGUAGAUAUUCGGAAGAACACCAGUGGCGAAGGCGGCUCACUGGACUGGUAUUGACGCUGAGGUGCGAAAGCGUGGGGAGCAAACAGG
rnacentral:rRNA from 1 species